CCCUACUGCUAUCGGGAUGAGACUAAAACAUGCUAGUUGUGCGCACCCAAGCUAUGUUGGGAGCGCAGCGAACGGCUCCGUAACACGUAGUCAAUCUAACCUUAGGACGGGAAUAACCCCGGGAAACUGGGGCUAAUACCUGAUAGGCGAAAAAGUCUGGAAUGACUUUUCACUCAAAGAGUUCUGGGAACAUGCUCCUUUAACUGCCUAAGGAUGAGACUGCGACCGAUCAGGUUGUUGGUGGGGUAACGGCCUACCAAGCCUAUAACCGGUACGGGCCCUGAGAGGGGGAGCCCGGAGAUGGGAACUGAGACAAGGUCCCAGACCCUACGGGGUGCAGCAGUUGCGAAAACUCUACAAUGCACGAAAGUGUGAUAGGGUUAUCCCGAGUGCCGUCCGAUGAGGAUGGCUUUUACCUGGUGUAAGGAGCCGGGGGAAUAAAGGGGGGGCAAGACUGGUGUCAGCCGCCGCGGUAAUACCAGCCCCCUGAGUGGUAGGGAUGAUUAUUUGGCCUAAAGCGUCCGUAGCCGGCUUAGCAAGUCUUUCGUUAAAUCCGAUGACUUAAUCAUCGGUCUGCGAGAGAUACUACUAGGCUUGAGGACGGGAGAGGUCGACGGUAUUUCGGGGGUAGGGGUAAAA
rnacentral:rRNA from 1 species